UACGUAGGGUGCAAGCGUUAAUCGGAAUUACUGGGCGUAAAGCGUGCGCAGGCGGUUUUGUAAGUCUGACGUGAAAUCCCCGGGCUUAACCUGGGAAUUGCGUUGGAGACUGCAAGGCUGGAGUCUGGCAGAGGGGGGGUAGAAUUCCACGUGUAGCAGUGAAAUGCGUAGAGAUGUGGAGGAACACCGAUGGCGAAGGCAGCCCCCCUGGGUCAAGACUGACGCUCAUGCACGAAAGCGUGGGGAGCAAACAGG
rnacentral:rRNA from 1 species